AAUUAAAUAACUUAAAUUAAAGUUUUGACCUUUUAAGUCAAAAAUAGUAUUAUAUAUAUACUUUUAAUUA
rnacentral:tRNA from 1 species